AAUGAACGUUGGCGGCGUGGAUUAGGCAUGCGAGUCGUGCGAGAACCGUAGCAAUACGGGGACAGCGGCGAAAGGGAGAGGAACACGUGGGUACCUACCCUCGGGUUCAGGAUAGCCAUGGGAAACUAUGGGUAAUACUGAAUAACGUCUUCGGACCAAAGGUGUGAUUCCGUCCGAGGAGGGGCCCGCGUCCUAUUAGCUAGUUGGUGGGGUAACGGCUCACCAAGGCGAAGAUGGGUACGGGAUGUGAGAGCAUGAUCCCGCUCAUUGGGACUGAGACACUGCCCAGACACCUACGGGAGGCUG
rnacentral:rRNA from 1 species